AGGUAUGGUGGCUCAUGCCCAUAGUCUUUACUACUGGGGACACUGACACUGAUGGAUUGCUUGAGUUUGGGAGUUCUGGGUUGCAGCAGGGCUAAAGCCAACUGGGUCUCUAAACUAAAUCCACCACCAAUAUGGUGAAUCCCUGGAGUCGGAGUGGGGUGGGAGGGAAGACAUCAGGCUGCCUAGGGAGGGGUGAACUGGCCCAGGUCAGAAACAGCAUAGAUCAAAACUUCCAUGCUGUUCAGUGAUGGGGUUGAGCCAGUGAGUGAGCACUGCACUUCUAGUCUGGGUGAGAUAGGAAGACUCAGUCUCAA
rnacentral:SRP_RNA from 1 species